rnacentral:rRNA from 1 species
GACGAACGCUGGCGGCGUGCCUAAUACAUGCAAGUCGAACGCAGUGGGGACGGGUGAGUAACACGUGGGUAACCUCCCAUCAGAGGGGAUAACACUUGGAAACAGGUGCUAAACCGAUACUGAUGGAUGGACCCGCGGUGCAUUAGCUCGUUGGUGAGGUAGCGGCUCACCAGGGCCACGAUGCAUAGCCGACAUGCGAGGUGGAGCGGCCACACUGGUACUGAGACACGUCCCAGAGUCCUACGGGAGGCAGCAGUAGGGAAUCUGCGGCAAUGGACGGAAGUCUGAACGAGCAACGCCGCGUGAGUGAAUAAGGUUUUCGGAUCGUAAAGCUCUGGUGUUAGAGAAGCGGUAACUAACCAGAAAGGGACGGCUAACUACGUGCCAGCAGCCGCGGUAAUAC